rnacentral:rRNA from 1 species
UACGUAGGGUGCGAGCGUUAAUCGGAAUUACUGGGCGUAAAGCGUGCGCAGGCGGUUCGCUAAGACAGGUGUGAAAUCCCCGGGCUUAACCUGGGAACUGCGCUUGUGACUGGCGGGCUUGAGUACGGCAGAGGGGGGUGGAAUUCCACGUGUAGCAGUGAAAUGCGUAGAUAUGUGGAGGAACACCGAUGGCGAAGGCAGCCCCCUGGGCCGAUACUGACGCUCAUGCACGAAAGCGUGGGGAGCAAACAGGAUUAGAAACCCCCGUAGUCC